UACGAAGGGGGCUAGCGUUGCUCGGAAUGACUGGGCGUAAAGGGCGCGUAGGCGGUUUGUACAGUCAGAUGUGAAAUUCCCGGGCUCAACCUGGGGGCUGCAUUUGAUACGUGCGGACUUGAGUGGGGAAGAGGGUCGUGGAAUUCCCAGUGUAGAGGUGAAAUUCGUAGAUAUUGGGAAGAACACCGGUGGCGAAGGCGGCGACCUGGUCCUUGACUGACGCUGAGGCGCGAAAGCGUUGGGGAGCAAACAGG
rnacentral:rRNA from 1 species